GCUCUAACACUGUGAUUCUUUGAAACAUGCCUGGUCAGUGAGAAGCUUCUGACCUGCGGAGAGCUGUAUUCAAGGCUCAGUGUCUACUUAGCGGUGACUAUUGCUUCUUUACAGCAGGGGCUUUCAACUUCAGCACUAGUGUCAUUUGGGGCUGGAUGAUUCUUUGUGGCACGGGGCCAGCCUGUGCAUUGUAAGAUGUUUAGCAGCACAGCUCGCCUCCUCCCGCCAGAUGCCGGGAGCACCUCCUUAUCCUGCCCUAGUGGUGAGAAACAAAAUUGCUUCCAGACAUUGCCCGGCAUCCCCUGGGGGGCAAAACUGCCUCUCGAGAACCGCUGCUCUAUAGGAAUAAAGAGAGAAGGCAGUGCAGACUAUCUGAAGAAGCCUGUCUUGCAAAAGCACUUUCUACUGGAAUGUGUCGUGCAACCUGCAGAGUUUGUGGAUUUAUCUCCCCAAGAAGGACAUUUUUCACUGUCUGCAAAACUGGGAAGACACAGAGGGAGAGGCAAAAGAGCCUGCUCCCUCCGGACCUGCUCUCCCCUCCCCCUCCUCCUCCUCCUCCCUCACCAGGAAAGCGACGGUGCCUCUGGGUCCUAGCUGCUCCCACUGCAGCGGCAGACCACGGAGAGCUGCCCCAGACACCUGCUGCCCUUUUCUCUCCGUGAACCUGGAGAGGAGGUUCCCCGUUGCAGUGAGCAUGAAAAACCCAGACCUGAAAGGGAGGGCGUGUUUUCACAGCACCUUCUCCUCGUCAGCCUCUUUCCAACGCUCCUGAAAACCGGCUCUGAAAAGAUCUGCUCUGUUCAGACAACGACUAACCGGGCUCCUCACCCAGAGCCCGAGGGUGAGGGAGAGGAAAACCGUGUCAUUAAGUUUGAGGGACAGGCCUUGGAGAGGCACAGAGACACAGGACCUCAGUGCGGGAUCACGAAGUCCAGACUUUCUGGUUUACAAGGGAAGCUGUUAUGGCCCAGAGAGGCUCACCGACCCCGCAUCAGUAUGUAUGAACGCGGAAUGUACACUUGAAUGUGAAAGGUACAUAUGGUGGCUUCCAGUGGAUUCACUGAUAACUCAGUCCAGAGAAAGAAUGAGGCGCAGGACGGGCCCCUGAGGCUGCUCACCAGGAUGGAGUAAGGGAGAGGCUGGUCUGAGAUGAUACAGACUCCCCAGGUCCUGAGAAUUGUCACUGCCUGAUCUUGGCCCACAGACCUUGAGACUAGGUCCAGAUUUUACCACCAAACUGACCAUCCAGGGGUUCCAGGACUGGUCUCUGGACCUUUGCUUUGAAUGCUGCAGAAUUCCCAGAAGAACCCACAACUGAGAUCUGGCUGACAGGGAUGGAGCUCCAGUAACUCACCAGGGAAGACACCUGCUCCUCUUACUGCAACUGCAGGAUGAUAUAGACAGGAGUGUCCCCAGCCACUCUGAGCACACCUAACAGGUCUGCGGUUUAAGCCAGUCAAGGCUGGCCCAGUAUUGUCCAACAAGCUCACAUCCUAACGGCCUGUUCUGGACAAAAGCAAUCACUCAGAAAUGUUUCUCCAUGGAACGCCAUCGGAGUCCCUGAGGUCCUCGGCCUGGGCGUGGAAGGAGGAAGGCUGGAACCUGUGCUGUGGUCAGGAAUGGUGGCUGAGGCCCAAGUCUGAAACAAGAAGCUAAGCACCAAGUCCUGAGGAUUUGGCCCAGACACCCCAUGCCAGCCUUAUCAGGAAGCGCAGGACUGGGCCUGCCACCACCCACCGCCUUGUCCGGGCCCCUCCCCGCGAUGUUGGGGGAGCACUGGGACGCAAGGGAAGGGGGUCUUCCUAGCACUCAGGCCGCGUGCGUGCAUGCGUGGUCAGGAGCUGAUAUCUCACCAUGGGGAUGGGGAUGCCUUCCCUUCUCCCGUGACAAGUGCAAAGACUGGUGACCCAUGAGAAGGGAACCAGUUGCUGGAAGUUUGCAGAGGCACAGAACCCACAGGCUCGCCCUGCAUUGUCACAAAAAUUCAGCAUGGUGGAGGAGCUCUUGGGGAGGCCAACCUGGGCCCCCUGAAG
ensembl:lncRNA